rnacentral:rRNA from 1 species
GACGAACCGAGCGAACGUUGUUCGGAAUCACUGGGCUUAAAGGGCGCGUAGGCGGGUGGAUAAGUCCGUGGUGAAAUCCGGCAGCUUAACUGUCGAAUUGCCCUGGGUACUGUCCAUCUCGAGGGAGGUAGGGGUGCGCGGAACUAAUGGUGGAGCGGUGAAAUGCGUUGAUAUCAUUAGGAACUCCGGUGGCGAAGGCGGCGCACUGGACCUCUUCUGACGCUGAGGCGCGAAAGCCAGGGGAGCAAACGGG